rnacentral:tRNA from 1 species
ACUGGAUCAGCUCUAGGAGUAUAAGAUUGAAGAUUUUAAGUAUAAUUUCAGUG